rnacentral:lncRNA from 1 species
AUUGAAAUCAGGAACAAGUCAAGGAUGCCCAUGUCAUCGCUUACACACAACAUUAUCCUGGAGGUUCUAGUCAAUGGACAAAAGAUUACGGAAAAAAAUUACAUAUAAAAAUUAGAAAAUAAGAAGAAACGAAGACAAAUUAUUAGAAUAAAAUAGAAUAUUAAAACAAAAAAUUAAUUGCACUUUUAUAUAUCAGUAAUAAGUUAGAAAAGGAACAUUUUUAAUAAUAAAAAUAAAAGACAAGAAGAACUAAAACUAUUAAAAGAAUUGCAAGACAUUUAUUUCUUCUCCUUGGGCCCCCCUAUUCCCUGUGACAUGACAAUAUUGAAAUUAGGCCAAUUAAUAAGCCUACAGUGGCCUCUAAAUGUUCAGGUGAAAGGAAGAGUCACAUUUCUUCCACUUUAAAUCAAAGGCUAGAAAAAAAUAAGCUCAGUGAGAAAGGCAGGUCAAAAGCUGAGACAGGCCAAAAGCUAGGCCUCUUGUGCCAAACAGCCAAGUUGUGAAUACAAAGGAAAAGGUCUUGAAGAAAAUUUAAAGUGCUACUUCAGUGGACACCCAAAUGAAAAGAAAACAACAGAGUUUGUUGCUGAUAUGAAGAAAGUUUGUGGUCUGGAUAGAAGAUCAAACCAGAUACAAUAUUUCCUUAAGCCAAAGCCUGAUCCAGAGACAGGCCCUAACUCUCUUCAAUUCCCUGAAGGC